GGGGUGUGAAAUGUAACAGUCAAUGGUGUACUUAAGACUGUCAGUCCCAAUAUUCAAGAGGAAAAACCCCUACAUAAACAAAUACAUGGGCGCAGACAUUUUGGACACCCAAAGUUGUGCGGAGGAGAAAAUGCUACCUGGCGCGUGAUUGGUCAAUAAGAGAAAAGACUUGAUAUGUAUUUGACAAGUGAAAUAAAGUUGAUAAAAAUGUAA